GGUUUAGGGUUUAGGGUUUAGGGUUUAGGGUUUAGGGUUUAGGGUUUAGGGUUUAGCGUAGGAUCAGCACCAGUAACAACAGGAACGAGGGCACUGCACGUGGGCUCAGGAGAGGCACACACAACUGAAGACUGGGUGACUAUGGCUGGAGAAGGUAUGGCCGCAACAGCGGGAGGAUCAGAAAUGAUAACUGGUGUCACUUCAGUAGUAUUAACGGCAUUUGGUGCUUCACUGGUUUCUACACUGGUGGUAGGAACAUCCUGAACAACUAGAGAAGCAACUGUGGAAUUGUUCUGAGCAUUAUGAGUUGCCGCUUCAUGUGUUACCGCGCUCUGAUUUCUGUUAUCGGCUUUCUGCACGUACUGAGUCCUCACAGGAGCCUUUGUCUUGGUACCCUCGCCAUCCGGAACAACAGUUUGCCGAACUGGGUUGGCGCGGUCUGUUUUCCGCAACUCAGGGUUGUUGAUGUAGCAUGUAUCAUCAGAGUGGCCCACGUGCUUGCAGGCAGCACAAUACCGAGGCACUUUUUCAAAGAUGAUAUACUGCCAAAACCCAGUGUCUUUCUCCCCGAUCCAUAACCGCUUCAAUAAAGGCCUCGAAAUGUCAUACUCAAUGAGAACUCUGGCAACAGUAGGCCUGCUGACGGCGGCGGUGGCAUGAUCGAUCCGAAGCGGUUUCCCAAUGG
rnacentral:lncRNA from 1 species